UACGUAGGGUGCAAGCGUUGUCCGGAAUUAUUGGGCGUAAAGAGCGUGUAGGCGGUCAGGUAGGUCAGCUGUGAAAACUCGAGGCUCAACCUCGAGACGCCGGUUGAAACCAUCUGACUAGAGUCCGGAAGAGGAGAGUGGAAUUCCUGGUGUAGCGGUGAAAUGCGCAGAUAUCAGGAAGAACACCCGUGGCUAAGGCGGCUCUCUAGUACGGUACUAACGCUGAGACGCGAAAGCGUGGGGAGCGAACAGG
rnacentral:rRNA from 1 species